CUCCAUGAAUCCAUGGGACCUGCAUCUUGUGGCAGAUUCCCUUCCUAGCCAUGGAAAAUAAAUGCCUUGGUUCCUGCUUUAGUUGCUGCCAUGC